CCAUCACUCUCCAAUGGUUGACACGCGUUCUGGACAUUGUCCUGGUCCUGCAAGAGCGACUUUCGGCUUCCCCACUUUGGAAUUAGGAAAAUUAUUCGGUUCAGGUCCAUCUCCCUAUGAAUCAUCAUUGUCGUUGGCUGGAAUGGUGGAUUGAGAUCUUCUACCACCCUUGUGUUUCAUGUUCAGAUAUGAAGGCAUGUGUUCGUUCCUAGGCUUGUCAACUGGGCAAGGCCGGCCCAGCAGAUUAUUGAAGAUGCCCAACAUAAGCAAUCGUGUUUUGAUGUUAUUAAUUUCAAUUUUUUCUUAUUUAUUCAUAGUAAGGUCUAAUUUA